rnacentral:rRNA from 1 species
AGAUUGAACGCUGGCGGAAUGCUUUACACAUGCAAGUCGAGCGGCAGCGCGGGGCAACCUGGCGGCGAGCGGCGAACGGGUGAGUAAUGCAUCGGAACAUGUCCAUGUCGUGGGGGAUAGCCCGGCGAAAGCCGGAUUAAUACCGCAUACGCCCGAGAGGGGAAAGCCGGGGACCGCAAGGCCUGGCGCGAUUGGGUUGCCGAUGUCCGAUUAGCUAGUUGGCGGGGUAAGAGCCACCAAGGCGAUGAUCGGUAGCUGGUCUGAGAGGAUGAUCAGCCACACUGGGACUGAGACACGGCCCAGACUCCUACGGGAGGCAGCAGUGGGAAUUUGGACAAGUGGGGGCAACCCGUGAGUCCAGCCAUUCCGCGUGAGUGAAGAAGGUCCGUUCGGUUGUAAGCUCGUUUUGUACCGGUAACGAAACGGUGGACGUAGAAUAUCCGUCG